GGGCGUAUAGCUCAGUUGGUAGAGCACCUGUUUUACACACAGGCGGUCAUAGGUUCGAAUCCUGUUGCGCCCA
rnacentral:tRNA from 2 species